rnacentral:misc_RNA from 1 species
GGAAGUAAAAGUCGAACAAGGUUUCCGUAGGUGAACCUGCGGAAGGAUCAUUACUGAGUGAGGGCCCUCUGGGUCCAACCUCCCACCCGUGUUUAUUAUACCUUGUUGCUUUGGUGAGCCCGCCUCACGGCCGCCGGGGGGCAUCUGCCCCCGGGCCCGCGCCCACCGAAGACACCUAGAACUCUGUAUGAAGAUUGCAGUCUGAGCAAAAACUAAAUAAGUUAAAACUUUCAACAACGGAUCUCUUGGUUCCG